GACGAACGCUGGCGGCGUGCUUAACACAUGCAAGUCGAACGGAAAGGCCCCCUUGUGGGGUACUCGAGUGGCGAACGGGUGAGUAACACGUAAGUAACCUACCCUUGACUUUGGGAUAACUUCAGGAAACUGGGGCUAAUACCGGAUAGGAGCUCCUGCUGCAUGGUGGGGGUUGGAAAGUUUCGGCGGUUGGGGAUGGACUCGCGGCUUAUCAGCUUGUUGGUGGGGUAGUGGCUCACCAAGGCUUUGACGGGUAGCCGGCCUGAGAGGGUGACCGGCCACAUUGGGACUGAGAUACGGCCCAGACUCCUACGGGAGGCAGCAGUGGGGAAUAUUGCACAAUGGGCGAAAGCCUGAUGCAGCAACGCCGCGUGCGGGAUGACGGCCUUCGGGUUGUAAACCGCUUUCGCCUGUGACGAAGCGUGAGUGACGGUAAUGGGUAAAGAAGCACCGGCUAACUACGUG
rnacentral:rRNA from 1 species